GAUAGUGUCAUCCUUAUUUUGUCCUGCUGCUUUGUUUCUCUUCCGGGGGCACCGUUGCUACACAUCCUGGAAUUAAAGGCUGAAAGCAAUGAUAGGCCACUUGAAUUUGGGGUCUUGGUGGAUGGAGACUACCUUCUCAUCCAAAGAUGUGGCCAUCAAGGAGAAGUCUUUCCCAUCGUAAAUAUCCAAGGGCGUGACUGAGCCAUCACUGAACUGGACCCAGCAACUGAUGGCUGCUUCCUAUGGAGAAAAAUAUUUGCUCACUCUGAUGAAGUGAGGUGCAUGCUGUGAGCCAAGCUGUAGAGAUUUCCACCCAGCUAGAAGCUGAGAGUGACCUCUGGCCAGCACCAGUGAGGAACUGAGACUAGCCAGCAACCGCACGAGUGAGCCUGCAUGUAGAUCCUUCCCCACAUGAGCCUUGAGAUGGGACCCCAGCCCCACUGACACUUGGACUGCAGCCUGUAAGAGACCCUGCUCAGAAGACCCAGCUCAGCCAUGCCUGGAUUCCAGAUCCACAGAAACUGUUUGAUAAUACGUGUUGUUCUUUCUCUUUUUGUGACAGGGUCUUGCUCUGUCACCCAGG